UACAGAGGCCCCAAGCGUUGUUCGGAUUCACUGGGCGUAAAGGGUGCGUAGGCGGCCGGGUAAGUCUGAUGUGAAAUCCCGCAGCUUAACUGCGGAACUGCAUCGGAUACUCUCCGGCUAGAGGAAUGGAGGGGAGACUGGAAUUCUCGGUGUAGCAGUGAAAUGCGUAGAUAUCGAGAGGAACACCAGUGGCGAAGGCGAGUCUCUGGACAUUUCCUAACGCUGAGGCACGAAAGCCAGGGGAGCAAACGGG
rnacentral:rRNA from 1 species